rnacentral:rRNA from 1 species
GACUCACAUAGAGGCAGCAGUAGAGAAUCUUGUGCAAUAUACGGAAGUAUGACACAGAGAGCACAUAUAAAGCCCGUCAAAUUAAGUGCCAGCCGACGCGGUUAGACUUAAGGGUUUGUCUUUAUAAGUAAAAAGGCGUAAAGGAUGUGUAGGCCAAGAAUUUUAAGAGAGUGGAUGGAAUUUUUCUGGAGCGGUAGAAUGCAAGGAUAGAAAAUAGAACUCCUAAAGUUACAACAAUCCACCACAUUUAGGCUGAAACAUGAAAGUGUGGGGAACAAACAGGAUUAGAGACCCUGGUAGUCCACACAGUGAACAUUGAAGAUUAUGCUUGGCAGACCCGAAAGGUAAAAUCUUCCGCCUGAGUAGUACGAUCACAAGAUUAAAAUUCAAAAACUUUGGCUGUUCACUACUUCGAUUAGAGGAGCGUGUAGUUUAAUUCGAUAAUCCGCGUGGAACCUUACCCUAACUUGAAUCUUUGACUGGUAUUGCAUGGCCGUCGUAAGUCCGUGUGUAAAGCUAAAAGGGACCCAAUCCCGAUUGGGAAGAAGUCAGGUGUUAUGAUCCAAAUGUUAGGGGAUAAUAUGCGCUACAUUUUUUUAUACAAUGGGAUACAAAAAGGUAAACCCAAAAGUAAAAGUUCGGAAGGUCGCUGAAAAUCGACCAAAAGUUGGAUUUAAUAGUAAUCGGAAAAUAGAGCGUUCCGGUGAAUUGGUACAAGUGUUAGCACAAAUUGCCCGUCACCUUUACCUAGAAUGGUUGCUUGGAUGCCU